CCGCUCUCCUGCAUCUGUUGUGAUUCGGCUGAAGAAAGGACUAAGUGUCCAGUUGCUAGUGAAGCGACUGAGAUCCAUGUGACACUAUUAUAAAGAUGGCGUUUAUUAAAGAGGAGAGUGAAGACGUGAAGAUUGAAGAAACAUUCAGAGUCAAACAUGAAGAUACUGAGGAACAAACAGACCUGAUGAUGUUAAAAGAAGAGAGGCAAGACCUUACAAAGAUAGAAGAGAAAGAUCAAUAUGAGAGACAUGAUUUCAUGACUGUGGAAAUAUCCAUACAGUCUGAAACAACUUCAUCACGAAAAGAACUUCAGAAGGCUGAAUCUAACAGUUACUUCACCUGCCAUCAAUGUAGAAAGAGUUUCAAUCAAAAAUAUAACCUUAAAAACCACAUGAAAGUUCAUGCUGGAGAGAAGCCUUUCAUAUGCCAACAAUGUGGAAAGAGCUUCUCACGUAAAGAAAACCUAAAACGCCACAUAAAAAGCCACACUAGAGAGAAGCCUUUUACCUGCAAUCCGUGUGGGAAGACCUUUACACGCAAAGGAUCUCUUAAGAGUCACAUGGUCAUUCACACUGGAGAGAAGCCGUUUCCAUGUGAUCAGUGUGAAAAGUGUUUCAGACAUAAAGCAACCCUUGUUUCACACUUGAAAACUCACACUGGAGAGAGAACUUGCACCUGCAAACUGUGUGGGAAGAGCUUAUCAAAUAAAUCAACCCUUAAUGCCCACAUGAGAAAUCACACAGGAGAGAGGCCCUUCACUUGCAAAUUGUGUGGGUAUAGCUUUUCACGCAAAGGAUCUCUUAAGAUUCACAUGGUCGUUCACACUGGAGAGAAGCCGUUUCCAUGUGAUCAGUGUGGAAAAUCUUUCAGACAUAAAGCAACUCUUUAUUCACACUUGAAAACUCACACUGGAGAGAGUCCUUACAUCUGCAAACUGUGUGUGAAGAGCUUCUCAAAUAAAUCAACCCUUACUGCCCACAUGAAAAAUCACACAGGAGAGAGGCCCUUCACCUGCAAAAUGUGUGGGAAGAGCUUCUCAAAAAAAAGUAAUCUUAAGGCUCACAUAAUAACUCAUACAGGAGAGAAGCCUUUCAUGUGUGCUCAGUGUGGAAAAUGUUUUACACGUGAAAUAACCCUUACUUACCACAUGAGGAUUCACUCAAGAGAGAACUGUUUUAAUUGUCAUCAGUGUGGACAGAAAUUCCCAGACAAGAGAUGCCUUAACCGGCAUGAAAAAAUUCAUUCUCUAUCUUCCACGUGCCAUGACUGUGGAAAGAGUUUCAGAUUUAAAGGAAACCUCAAGGUUCACAUGAGAAUCCACACUGGAGAGAAACCCUUCACCUGCACUCACUGCGGAAAGAGUUUCAGUCAGAACAUAAGCCUUCAGAUUCACACAAGGCUUCACACUGGAGAGAAACCUUUUACCUGCAAUCUGUGUGGGAAGAGCUUCACACAUAAAGCACGAUUUAAUUCCCACAUGAGAAGUCACACUGGAGAGAAACCUUUUACCUGCAAACUGUGUGGGAAGAGCUUCUCACGCAAAAGAUCUCUUAAGAGUCACAUGGUCAUUCACACUGGAGAGAAACCGUUUCCAUGUGAUCAGUGUGGAAAGUGUUUCAGACAUAAAGCAACCCUUGAUUCACACAUGAAAAGUCACCUGCAGUUAAACCUGUAAACUGUGUGGUAAGAGCUUCUCACAAAAAGGAAAUCUUAAGGCUCACAUGAAAACUACAUGUGAAACAACCCUUAUUUACAACAUGAGGCUUCACUCAAGAGAGAACUGUUUUAAAUGUCAUCAGUUUGGACAGAGAUUUACAGACAAGAGAUGCCUUAACUGGCAUGAAAAUAUUCAUUCUCGAGAGACAUCUUUCACAUGCACUCUUAAGAUAAAUUGUUCUAAACCAUACCAGAAAAGGGUUCUUCAGCUUGUAACAAUAGUAGAACCCUUUUUGGUGCUAAAAAGAACCCUUUUUAUAGGGUUCCAUAACCAUCCUUUGAAAAUGCUAUAUAGGACCUGAAAGGGGUCAUAUGAUGCAAUUUCAUGUGUGAUUUUUUUUUUUUUUGCGAAAGCGAAACUACUUAAUUUGGCCUUCCAAAUGAGCACAACUAGAAAUCAGUGGUUAUGUUGUAUUUACAACACAACAGAGUGUGUGCAGUGCAUUUUACGGAGGAUUGUUUCCUGAACCUAGGAGAGUAGUCUACAAUGCCGGCUGUACACAAAGACUGUUUCUAUAAAGUGGGGCAAUUCUAGGGUGACCAUACGGGCCAUCAGGGGUUCAAACCGUAAUUUUACGAAUCUACGAGAAUACUUUUUGUGCACAAAAGAAAAAAAAUAAUGACUUUAUUCAACAAUUCGUCUCCUCCAUGUCACACUGGCGCCAUUUUGGAGAGUAUCCACUGAACGCAAACAGCGUAUGCUGUUCUGUGUCAGCUGCGUCACACGGAUACGUUGUUUUCGUUCAGAUGAUUUGAAACUUUAUUUAAAACGUGUUAAAUAAAUAUAAUAAAAACUAUACAACACGGUACAAAACGAUUUUCUUAUGUCCAAAAAGGAGUAGGAAGAAGCAUAAACUUAUUUAAUCCUCCACUCUGCAUUGAUAAUAAUAAUCAAUAACAAUAAUCAUCAAAUUAACUUCAUGAUUCUGUCAUCUCAAUCUUGUCUUAAUACACUCUUUACACUUUCCUACAUAUGUUUAUACAUACAAAUAAAACUAUGACUAAAUAAUCUGUAUGAACACCUAGUCAAAUUCGUACUUCCUCCAUAUACAUUCGGAAAACCAUACGUAUGUGCUGCUUUUUGAACUGGGUCACUCCUUGUGGGUAACACCAGUGAAGAUCAGUUUAUGUUUAUGUUCUUUUACUAACUGCUUUCACUAAAUGCCAAAUGUAAAAAUAUAGUCUCAUCUAAUAAUUGUAGUUGAAGAACAAGGAUCAUUGGUCUUAUGUAUGUCACUGGUGUUACCGUUUAACAAAAAUCAUUUAUUUUGUAAUAAAAAUCACACUGAUGACAUCAUUUGACUUCCUUCUUCCUAUUUCCUGAAGAUGUAUGAAAAAGGCCCAUGAUAAGUCCAUUGUCUAUUUUCAGUUAUCAGAAAUGUUCUCAUUUAUUUCAUGAUUUCAUAUGAAGCUUUUAGUUGACGUCACUGGUAUGACCUAUUUAUUGUUAGGGAAUUGUAAAAAACUAGAAUACAAUUGGAUUAAACUACUUUAUUUAGUGAGUAUACCAUGAUUGACGACAUGUGGUUUGAUAUCUUGCAGCAGACUUUUUGUAAAAUGCAUUUUUUCAUGAAAAUUGUCACUGGUGUUACCUUCCUUGUGGGUUACACCAGUGAAGAUCAGUUUUAUGUUUAUAUUCUUUUACUAACUGCUUUCACUAAAUGCCAGAUGUAAAAAUUUAGCCUCAUCUAAUAAUUAUAGUAUCUUUGGUCUAAUGUAUGUCACUGGUGAUUCAUUGUGUCACUGGUGUUACCGUGUUUUUUUUUUCUGUCACAUUAAAUAAAAUGUUUCACAUGUGACAUAAUAAUAAUUUUACAUCCAUUGAAUUCUGCUUCACUCAAGAGUUAAGAUUUAAAGGAUUGCAUCAUUACUUGUUUAUAACUGUUUUUCAAAUAUUUUCAUUUUUAUAGCAAAUACAUGGUUGCACAAAUGAACUAACAUCAUUCAAUCACACUUUUAACAAACCUGAUUAAAAUAAAUAAAACAAUCUCCUUAUUUGUUGCAUUAUCAUUGUUUUUCUGUAACUCUGCCUACAUGUGCUGGAAAAAAAAAUUGAGAUAAUAUUUCAUAAAAACCUUUAAAAUUGCCAAAGUAAGGUAACACCAGUGACAAAAAAAAAAAAUGGUACAUGUGGUCUUUAAAUAAAUGUACAAAAAAGAUUUUUAAAAAAUCAAGCUGUCAUUUAUGUGUAUUCAUAAAGUCAAAAGAUAAUCUAAUAAUGUGGUCUAAGUUUAAAUGUUAAAAAAAGAAAUACGUUUUAAGACAUCUUGCCAUACCAAAAGUUGACGUUUCUGUAGAAUGAACCAUUUGAGUUCUUUAUGUGGGAAGCGUUUAAAAUGGCACCAGAAAAUACGUAUCUGUGUGAAAUUAAAGCUGUGAUAACACCGCAGCUGAAUGUGUCCUAAAUCUGAUUGUCCACCUUCAAGACCAAUUGGAUUUUCACCUCUUUGUGAGUUUGACUUUUUCUUUUUCUACAUAUGAACUGCUGUGGCUGCACCUGACCAUCUGCUUUGUUAUAGUUCAGUUGUACUUUUUUUUGCUGUAUUUGAUUUGUCAAUUAAAUUUUGGUUUGUCCCAAGACACACCUUUGUGAAUAUGAAAUUCAUCUUUGAAACUUUACAGUUAACAUAAACUGAUAUAAUAUUAAUUAAUACAAAUGAAAUGAAAUUUAAUUAUGAAGGCAGAAAAUAGUGUCAUUAGAAUGCGUGGACUCCGAAGACCGCAUUCCAAUAACGAUUGCAUCACCGCAGCGCGACGAAGGCUGCUGUAAUUCGUUUCCCAGGAAAAUGAAGUAUACAUCUGAUGGACAAUUCGCACCCUAUCAUAUCCCAGAAUCACUUGCGCACAGAUGACGGUGUUUAUAUUCAAAGAACAUGGAGGAUGAGAGUUCUGUUCUGUGGGGGAAUUCACAUUGAAAUCUUAGGUUUAACAUCAGAAAAACAUCAAUUUUGCGCCC